rnacentral:lncRNA from 1 species
CAUGUCCAUUCUUUUGAAAGAUCCUAUAUUCAACACUCCUGAAUACUUGGACACUUGACAAUUGUAGCAAAUAUCUAGGUAUCAUUGCUAGUUAGAAAGUAGGAUUCCUAAUGAGAAUUUAGUGGACAUAUAAUUAUGAGCAAGGUUCCCCCAGUACUGGUUUGAUGACUAGUUUGAUACCGUAUUGGUACAUCCCCAAACUGACACGAAGCAUACUGGAACUAAAGGGAGGGAGAGGGGAG